rnacentral:SRP_RNA from 1 species
GCCGAGCUCAGUUGCGAGAGCUUGUUACCCGAGCGGGGGCAACAGGGUGGGCUUGGACGUUUGAUGGUGUGGUUGGGUCUGGGCUGCAGUUGUGCGAGGGGCUGGCCCGCCCGGUCCAAGUUGGGUUUGUGGGUCAUGUGGGCCCAGGCGGAGGCUUUGGGUCAAGUGGCCCCUGAAGUGGAGGGGAACGCGUGAGGCUGGCUUCACAGAGCAGCGAACACCUCCCGCUCUCAACGGUGGACGGAUUACGGGCCGCCGCAUUCGCAGUCCAAUAUGGCCCAGCAGCCCACUCAAACGGACAUCCACUUUU